rnacentral:rRNA from 1 species
UGGGGAAUAUUGGACAAUGGGCGAAAGCCUGAUCCAGCCAUGCCGCGUGUGUGAAGAAGGUCUUCGGAUUGUAAAGCACUUUAAGUUGGGAGGAAGGGCAGUAAGCGAAUACCUUGCUGUUUUGACGUUACCGACAGAAUAAGCACCGGCUAACUCUGUGCCAGCAGCCGCGGUAAUACAGAGGGUGCAAGCGUUAAUCGGAAUUACUGGGCGUAAAGCGCGCGUAGGUGGUUCGUUAAGUUGAAUGUGAAAGCCCCGGGCUCAACCUGGGAAGUGCAUCCAAAACUGGCGAGCUAGAGUAGGGCAGAGGGUGGUGGAAUUUCCUGUGUAGCGGUGAAAUGCGUAGAUAUAGGAAAGAACACCAGUGGCGAAGGCGACCACCUGGGCUCAUACUGACACUGAGGUGCGAAAGCGUGGGGAGCAAACAGG